rnacentral:rRNA from 1 species
CUUGAGCGAUGCGGCCGCCGAGGGUGGGACAGGAAGUGUGGGGUGAAGUCGUAACAAGGUAGCCGUAUCGGAAGGUGCGGCUGGAUCACCUCCUUUCUAAGGAA